UACGCAGGGGGCUAGCGUUGCUCGGAAUCACUGGGCGUAAAGCGCACGUAGGCGGCUUCUUAAGUCAGGGGUGAAAUCCUGGAGCUCAACUCCAGAACUGCCUUUGAUACUGAGAAGCUUGAGUCCGGGAGAGGUGAGUGGAACUGCGAGUGUAGAGGUGAAAUUCGUAGAUAUUCGCAAGAACACCAGUGGCGAAGGCGGCUCACUGGCCCGGUACUGACGCUGAGGUGCGAAAGCGUGGGGAGCAAACAGG
rnacentral:rRNA from 1 species